GACGAACGCUGGCGGCGUGCCUAAUACAUGCAAGUUGAGCGCUGACGGUUGGUACUUGUCCCGACUGGAUGAGCAGCGCACGGGUGAGUAACGCGUGGGGAAGCUGCCUUUGAGCGGGGGACACCAUUUGGACACGAAUGCUAACACCGCAUAAAAACUUUAAACACAAGUUUUACGUUUGAAAGAUGCAAUUGCAUCACUCAAAGAUGAUCCCGCGUUGUAUUAGCUAGUUGGUGAGGUAAAGGCUCACCAAGGCGAUGAUACAUAGCCGACCUGGGAGGGUGAUCGGCCAACUUUGGACUGGGACACGGCCCAAGCUCCUUCGGGGGGCAGCAGUAGGGAAUCUUCGGCAAUGGGCGAAAGUCUGACCGAGCAACGCCGCGGUAGGUGAGAAGGUUUUCGGAUCGUAAAACUCUGUUUGUAGGGAAGGACGUUGGUGGGAGUGGAACGCUCAUGGAAUGACGGUAACUACCCAGAAAGCGCCGGCUAACUACGUG
rnacentral:rRNA from 1 species